GAAUCAUCAGGUGGUCCACCUGAUGAUUCCUAUACGGAUGAAACAGACUGUUGUGUAAUAUACGAAUAGGAAUCAUCAGGUGGACCACCUGAUGAUUCCC